rnacentral:rRNA from 1 species
UGAAUACGAGACGCUAAGGCGUCGAAGUAGUGUAUGUCAUACUCCAAGAAAAGCUUGCACUGUCAUAAGUAAAAAAUGCCUGUACCAUAACCGACACAGGUGGGUAGGUAGAGUAUACUAAGGGGCGCGAGAUAACUCUCUCUAAGGAGCUCGGCAAAAUGACUCCGUAACUUCGGGAGAAGGAGUGCCUUAUUUAUAAGGUUGCAAUAACAAGAUCCAAGCAACUGUUUAUCAAAAACACAGGUCUCCGCUAAGUCGUAAGACGAUGUAUGGGGGCUGACGCCUGCCCAGUGCCAGAAGGUUAAAGAAGUUGGUUAGUGUAUGCGAAGCUGAUGACUGAAGCCCUGGUGAACGGCGGCCGUAACUAUAACGGUCCUAAGGUAGCGAAAUUCCUUGUCGGGUAAGUUCCGACCCGCACGAAAGGCGUAAUGAUUUGGAUACUGUCUCGGAGAGAGGCUCGGUGAAAUAGACUUGUCUGUGAAGAUGCGGACUACCUGCACCAGGACAGAAAGACCCUAUGAAGCUUUACUGUAACUUGAAAUUGGAAUUGGACUUUGCUUGCGCAGUAUAGGUGGGAAGCGUUGAAGAUAUUCUUGCGGGAGUAUUGGAGCUAUCAGUGAGAUACCACUCUUGUAAUGUUAGAUUUCUAACUUUGAACCAUAAUCUGGUCAAAGAACAGUUUCAGGUGGGCAGUUUGACUGGGGCGGUCGCCUCCCAAAUGGUAACGGAGGCGUACAAAGGUUUCCUCUGAACGGAUAGAAAUCGUAUCUAGAGUGUAAAGGCAUAAGGAAGCUUGACUGUGAGACCUACAAGUCGAGCAGGGACGAAAGUCGGUCUUAGUGAUCUGACGGUACUGAGUGGAAAGGCCGUCACUCAACGGAUAAAAGUUACUCUAGGGAUAACAGGCUGAUCUCCCCCAAGAGUUCACAUCGACGGGGAGGUUUGGCACCUCGAUGUCGGCUCAUCGCAUCCUGGGGCGGUAGUACGUCCCAAGGGUUGGGCUGUUCGCCCAUGAAAGCGGUACGCGAGCUGGGUUCAGAACGUCGUGAGACAGUUCGGUCCAUAUCCGGUGUAGGCGUUAGAAUAUUGAGAGGAGCCUUCUUUAGUACGAGAGGACCGAGAAGGACACACCGCUGGUGUACCAGUUAUCGUGCCAACGGUAAACGCUGGGUAGCUAUGUGUGGAGUGGAUAACCGCUGAAAGCAUCUAAGUGGGAAGCCCACCUCAAGAUGAGUAUUCCC